ACACACACACACACACACACACACACACACACACACACACACAGUUUCAUCACCUCCAGCUCUCAUCUCUUCAACACGCGUUGGACAUCUGGAAGUGUGUACUUUCAACAGACACUAGCAGACUUGCGCUAGCAAGGCCAAACACAUUAUAAACGGCCUCACAGUCACACACACACACUGAGAGCACAGGCUAACAUGCUCUGGAAUGAACAUCCUUUCAAUGGCCUUGGUAAUACACAGGUGAUGUAAAGAUGGGAAAGAAACUCAGCCCAUCUAUCACGCACCAACCUCAUCAUCAUCAUCAUCAUCAUCAUCAUGAUCAUGAUCUUCUCAUUAGAUGUCAUUAGCUUCUAGCCCAUUGUCUCCAGUGAGCAAAAUUACUUGUUAAUGCUAAUGUGAGAACAUGUUGAUGUAGGCAGCCUUUACCCUGAUGCUAGUGAGGUUAAAUGCCCCGCUAGUUAAUGCCUUUACCCUGCUGCUAGUGAUGUUAAAUGCCCCGCUAGUUAAUGCCUUUACCCUGCUGCUAGUGAGGUUAAAUGCCCCACUAGCUAAUGCCUUUACCCUGAUGCUAGUGAGGUUAAAUGCCCCACUAGCUAAUGCCUUUACCCUGAUGCUAGUGAGGUUAAAUGCCCCGCUAGUUAAUGCCUUUACCCUGAUGCUAGUGAGGUUAAAUGCCCCACUAGCUAAUGCCUUUCCUUCGCCUGAGUGGUAGCCUACCCCAUAUUCAAAAGCAGAGUAGGCUAAGUUAACAAAUAUUGCCUAGG
ensembl:lncRNA